rnacentral:rRNA from 1 species
AGGACGAACGCUGGCGGCGUGCUUAACACAUGCAAGUCGAACGAGGAUCAAUUGGAAAGCUCGGCCGGAAGGAUUGAUUCGAGUGGCGGACGGGUGAGUAACGCGUGAACAAUCUGUCCCAGACAGGGGGAUAACACUUGGAAACAGGUGCUAAUACCGCAUAAGACCACAGCAUCGCAUGGUGGAGGGGUAAAAGGAGCAAUCCGGUUUGGGGUGAGUUCGCGUCCGAUUAGCCAGUUGGGGGGUAACGGCCCACCAAAGCGACGAUCGGUAGCCGACCUGAGAGGGUGAUCGGCCACAUUGGAACUGAGAGACGGUCCAAACUCCUACGGGAGGCAGCAGUGGGGAAUAUUGGGCAAUGGGCGAAAGCCUGACCCAGCAACGCCGCGUGAGUAGAAGAAGGCCUUCGGGUUGUAAACUGCUUUUAUAGUAGAAGAAACACAUCUACGAGUAGAUGUCUGCCAGUAUACUAUGAAUAAGCAUCGGCUAACUCCGUGCCAGCCGCCGC